AUUGAACGCUGGCGGCAGGCCUAACACAUGCAAGUCGAACGGUAACAGGAAGAAGCUUGCUUCUUUGCUGACGAGUGGCGGACGGGUGAGUAAUGUCUGGGAAACAGCCUGAUGGAGGGGGAUAACUACUGGAAACGGUAGCUAAUACCGCAUAACGUCGCAAGACCAAAAAGGGGGACCUUCGGGCCUCUUGCCAUCGGAUGUGCCCAGAUGGGAUUAGCUAGUAGGUGGGGUAACGGCUCACCUAGGCGACGAUCCCUAGCUGGUCUGAGAGGAUGACCAGCCACACUGGAACUGAGACACGGUCCAGACUCCUACGGGAGGCAGCAGUGGGGAAUAUUGCACAAUGGGCGCAAGCCUGAUGCAGCCAUGCCGCGUGUAUGAAGAAGGCCUUCGGGUUGUAAAGUACUUUCAGCGGGGAGGAAGGGAGUAAAGUUAAUACCUUUGCUCAUUGACGUUACCCGCAGAAGAAGCACCGGCUAACUCCGUG
rnacentral:rRNA from 1 species